AACGAACGCUGGCGGCAUGCCUAACACAUGCAAGUCGAACGAGACCUUCGGGUCUAGUGGCGCACGGGUGCGUAACGCGUGGGAACCUGCCCUUAGGUUCGGAAUAACUCCCCGAAAGGGGUGCUAAUACCGGAUAAUGUCUUCGGACCAAAGAUUUAUCGCCUUUGGAUGGGCCCGCGUUGGAUUAGCUAGUUGGUAGGGUAAAAGCCUACCAAGGCGACGAUCCAUAGCUGGUCUGAGAGGAUGAUCAGCCACACUGGGACUGAGACACGGCCCAGACUCCUACGGGAAGCAGCAGUGGGGAAUAUUGGACAAUGGGCGAAAGCCUGAUCCAGCAAUGCCGCGUGAGUGAUGAAGGCCUUAGGGUUGUAAAGCUCAUUUACCCGGGAUGAUAAUGACAGUACCGGGAGAAUAAGCUCCGGCUAACUCCGUG
rnacentral:rRNA from 1 species